rnacentral:rRNA from 1 species
AACGUAGGAGACAAACGUUAUCCGGAGUUACUGGGCGUAAAGGGCGUGUAGGCGGUUAGUUAAGUCUGGCGUGAAAGCUCUCGGCUAAACCGGGAGAGGUCGUCGGAUACUGGCAAACUAGAGGAUGGUAGAGGCGUGUGGAAUUCCGGGUGUAGUGGUGAAAUGCGUAGAGAUCCGGAGGAACACCAGUGGCGAAGGCGACACGCUGGGCCAUACCUGACGCUAAAGCGCGACAGCAUGGGGAGCAAACGGG